CGCCUUUUGAAUAUUAUAAAAGGUACCGCCUGCCCAGUGACUAUGUGUUCAACGGCCGCGGUAUACUGACCGUGCAAAGGUAGCGUAAUCAUUUGUCUUUUAAUUGAAGACUAGUAUGAAUGGCAUCACGAGGACUAAUCUGUCUCCCUCCCCCAAUCAGUGAAACUGAUCUCCCCGUGCAGAAGCGGGGAUAAUAUCAUAAGACGAGAAGACCCUGUGGAGCUUCAAAUCAAUAAUCAACUGCUUCACCCACCCCAAAUAAAGGAUACACUCACGCAAACUUGAUUUAGAUUUUCAGCUGGGGCGUCUAUGGAGAAAAAAAAAUCCUCCAUGAAAAUUCAUGCUAAAAGCUACCGCCAUAGGCAUUAAUAUACUUAACUUUAAUUGACCCAAUUUUUGAUCAACGGACCAAGUUACCCCAGGGAUAACAGCGCAAUCCACUUAAAGAGUCCUUAUCGACAAGUGGGCUUACGACCUCGAUGUUGGAUCAGGGCAUCCAAGUGGUGCAGCCGCUACUAAAGGUUCGUUUGUUCAACGAUUAAAGCCCU
rnacentral:rRNA from 1 species